AAUUUGUCCAAUCUAAAUCAAACCCUAGAGUUAAUUUAUCGGACCAACAAGUGAACUCUGUUACUUUCAAUUUAUUUUGAAAUGUAAAAUAUUAUGUUUCACUACCUCGGUAGAUUACCGACUUGAAAUAUUUGAAUUUAAAAAAGAAACUGUAAAGUGACAAAUAGUUUUGUAUGCAAUGUGGCAGCCCUAUAUUCAUAAAUACUGAGAUAAUUCCCCGCCCAGACACAACACAAUAAUCACAACCUUAUUUAAUUAUAUGAAGAAAUAAAAUCAUGUGUUUUUUUAUCUGUUAUGAUCUGUUAUUGAUCUUUUAUUUUUUUUAAAUAAAAUUGGAUUGGCGCAAUCCGUAUUUUACUGCUCGUUAAAAGUCCUCGGCGAAAUAUAAAAAGAAGUAUUUCAACAAUUUAUACUAUAGAAUAUUAAAAUGAAAUUAUAUCGUACAAGAAAGAAAUAUGUAAAAAAAAAUGUGGAUCGGAUUUUUACGAUCGACACAUUUUCACAGAGGAUCUCUACCAACGCCCAUCAGGAACUGAACGACAUGCAUCCUGUUUUCAUCUACCAUUAAUGUAUAGUGUUGACUAUGGAAGUAUAAAUAAUGUCCAGGUUUAUGUCCUCUGUUGACUGAGAAACGUAUAAAUAAAAGGCUGAUGUUCGUUUAUUCAGAAAAGGAAUAAAAUUUAGAAUCCGGUUAAUCAAUUGUAAAAGGACCUUCUAGAGCCUCAAUCUUAACGCACACAAAUGUCAAUCAUUACAAAGCAAGUUUAAACCUUCAAUGAAUUUUCCCACGGUUAUCCAGAAAGGUCACCUGAGUUUACUGUUACAUGAUACUAUUUCCCGCCAAAUAAAAAUCUCGUGGACAAAAUUGAUGUCACUAUUUUUAGCAUUCAAUAUUGUGAGCGAAGUCAAGUUCAAGUUCAACCACGCACUGUUGAUCACUGAGAUGCGUGUCGUCUUCCCACGGCAAUUAAUUGUUUUAAAAAAUAUUUAAAGAUCACUGUUCUAAAUACAACACAAAAGUUUACAUUCAUUGUGCGUAAAUGAAUAUUAUGCAACGACGAGUUGAUGCAGCUAUAGAAGUAUUCCUGUUGUAGCCGAAAUGUAUUAUAUCCUAAAGUAAUGCUAAUCGUGAAGAGAAAAUGCCGUAGACUUAUUAAGCAUAACGAAUGGUGAAUAGUAUUUUCUUUUUUACUUGCAUAUACAAGUUUUAAGACACGUAAUUUUCUUUAAACUCACUGCUCACAUUUUAUACCUUCAGCGUUAGUUUCCGUUUAUUUUCACGCAAGUAUGUCUCUUUUCGUAAGUUAUAUAAAUUACCGAUAAAUAAAAA
rnacentral:lncRNA from 1 species